AUUGAACGCUGGCGGCAGGCCUAACACAUGCAAGUCGAACGGUAACAGGAAGAAGCUUGCUUCUUUGCUGACGAGUGGCGGACGGGUGAGUAAUGUCUGGGAAACUGCCUGAUGGAGGGGGAUAACUACUGGAAACGGUAGCUAAUACCGCAUAACGUCGCAAGACCAAAGAGGGGGACCUUCGGGCCUCUAGCCAUCGGAUGUGCCCAGAUGGGAUUAGCUAGUAGGUGGGGUAACGGCUCACCUAGGCGACGAUCCCUAGCUGGUCUGAGAGGAUGACCAGCCACACUGGAACUGAGACACGGUCCAGACUCCUACGGGAGGCAGCAGUGGGGAAUAUUGCACAAUGGGCGCAAGCCUGAUGCAGCCAUGCCGCGUGUAUGAAGAAGGCCUUCGGGUUGUAAAGUACUUUCAGCGGGGAGGAAGGGAGUAAAGUUAAUACCUUUGCUCAUUGACGUUACCCGCAGAAGAAGCACCGGCUAACUCCGUG
rnacentral:rRNA from 1 species